rnacentral:misc_RNA from 1 species
AACGCAUAUUGCGCUCUCUGGUAUUCCGGAGAGCAUGCUUGUUUGAGUAUCAGUAAACACCUCAACUCCCUUUUCUUUUUUGAAAUUGGAGCUGGACUUGAGUGAUCCCAACGCUUUCUUCCAAGAAAGUGGCGGGUUGCUUGAAAUGCAGGUGCAGCUGGACUUUUAUCUGAGCUAAAAGCAUAUCUAUUUAGUCCUCGUCAAACAGGAUUAUUACUUUUGCUGCAGCUAACAUAAAGGAUAAUUGUCCUCUUUGCUGACUGAUGCAGGAUUUUACGACACUUUAUGUGUUGUUCAACUCGAUCUCAAAUCAAGUAAGACUACCCGCUGAACUUAA